rnacentral:rRNA from 1 species
CCUACGGGAGGCAGCAGUGGGGAAUGUUGCGCAAUGCUCGUAAGAGUGACGCAGCGACGCCGCGUGAAUGACGAAGGCCUUCGGGUCGUAAAGUUCUUUCGACAGGGAAGAAAAUGCCUAGAAGUAACUGUGUAUGUAUUGACGGUACCGGUAGAAGCAGCGCCGGCUAACUCCGGGCCAGCAGCCGCGGUAAGACGGAGGGUGCGAGCGUUAAUCGGAAUUACUGGGCUGAACGCGCUCGUAGGCGGUAUGUCUAGUCCAGGGUGAAAUCCCCGCGCUCAACGUGGGACCUGCCUUUGAAACUGGCAACCUGGAGUGUGUGAGAGGCUAGUGGAAUUCCUGGUGU